AUGAAAUUCUAUUAUACCAAAGGGACUCGGUAAAGGCGAAGGCAGCCCUCUAUGUAAAAACUGACGUUGAAGAACGAAGGCACAGAGCACAAACAGGAUUAGAUACCCAAGUAGUCUUUGCAGUAAAUGAUGAAUGCCAUAGGUUAGAUUAAGCUUUAAUAUAUUAGUUUAUCAGUAGUAAACUAACUAUUCAACAAUAUUUAGUCUAUAAAUGAAAGUGUAAGCAUUCCACCUCAAGAGUAAUGCGGCAACGCAGGAACUGAAAUCACUAGACCGUUUCUGACACCAGUAGUGAAGUAUGUUGUUUAAUUCGAUGAUCCACGAAAAACCUUACCACAAUUUGAAUAUUUUACAGGAGUUGCACGGCUGUUUUCAGUUAAUGUUGUGAAACUGUGGUUUCCAUGAAAUUAACGCAAUCCUUGGCUUUAUUUUUUUUUCUUUUAUUACUAUAAAGCAUUUGAUCCAGGAUUUGGAAAGAAAAAGGGGACAAAGACAAGUCAUCAUGGCCUUGAUAUUGUGGGCUAUAGACGUGCCACAUAUUCCUAGACAAAGAGAUGCAAAAAUGUGAAUUUAAGCUAAUCUCUAAAAAUAGGAUAUAAAUGUUAAGGAUUAUAGUCUGAAACUCGACUAUAUGAAUAAGUAAUUACUAGUAAUCGUGAAUCACCAUGUCACGGUGAAUUUUCCUUGGAUUGGUACUAACCACUCGUCACAUGCUGAAAAGAGCAUGCGCAAUAAGUUUGCUUUCUUGAUGAUCAGUAAAAAUAAUAAUAAGCAGGUUAUAUAUUCUAUCAUUAAG
rnacentral:rRNA from 1 species